rnacentral:rRNA from 1 species
CUUWUUGAGUAAAUAAUUUUAAGUYUGACCUGCCCMCUGAAAUUUUGAAGGGCCGCGGUAUUUUGACUGUGCAAAGGUAGCAUAAUCAUUAGUUUUUUAAUUGAAAGCUGGAAUGAAUGGUUGAAUAAAAAAAAAACUGUCUUUAUAUUAAAAAUUGAAUUUUAUUUUUAAGUAAAAAAGCUUAAAUAAAAUUAAAAGACGAGAAGACCCUAUAGAGUUUAAUAUAAUAAUAUUAAUAUGGAAUUAGAAAAUAUAUUUAUAAAAAUUUUAUUGUAUUUAAUUGGGGUGAUUAAAAAAUUAAUUAAACUUUUUUUUAUUUUAAACAAUGAUUUUUGAAUUUAUGAUCCAUAAGUUUUGAUUAUAAGAAUAAAUUACCUUAGGGAUAACAGCGUAAUUUUUUUUGAGAGUUCUAAUUGAAAAAAGAGAUUGCGACCUCGAUGUUGGAUUAAAAUUUAUUUUUGGUGCAGAAGCUAAAAAAUUUAAGYCUGUYCMCUUUUAAAAUUUUMCA